CAGAAUAUUCAAUAUCUUUAUAGUACAAUACAAAACUCUGGCUGAUUUUUAUUCCCUGUAUUUUCCAUCUGCAUGAAAAUGUUUCGACACAUCUGAUUAAUUGAUUUUUUUAGACACACAUUGAACAUGCUGCCUUUAUAUUUAAAUGGAAUGAAUUACCUCACGCCUUUAUGGAAUGAAUGUGGAAGAAAUGUGUUGAAAUCUCAGUUGGUUUCCAGUGUGUCAUCAGAGCCUGGGAUUUCCUCCACGGGAUUUACCAUUUUUAAAAGACAGAUUUUUUCCUUCUUGAUUAAUUUUAUUUAUGAAAGUAAAAUUCAGAAACCUUGCUCACUAAAAUUUUGCUUAAGAUGUUACCUAGUAAAGAACAAUAUGUUCCCUAACUUUACCAGAUGUAAUCCCACGGUUACCGUGGUUAUUACUCCAGUCAGGCAUCAUUAAGCAAAAUGUAAUAGAGUUCAAGUUUGAUCAAUCCAUCUGACUGAGUGAUCUCCACAUGACCUGGGUAUUUACAAAUGGGCUCCCCAGUGACAAGCAUCCUUCUAAGUCUAAACUCAGUUCUUCAUCUGGUCACAGCUAUCCACUUGUCCAAAGAAUCUUCUCGAGUUACUAGAGACCCGUCAGAUUGUGAACAGUGAUCUGGUCGCCACAGCGCAAGGGGAGAAAAAAAGAGGGUGUACGGAUCCUCUUCCUGGAAGUCGUCAGACUGGCCUUUCCUCCAGAGUCUGGCAGCAAACAGUGUCAUGUACUGCACAUGACUAUGUGCUGUACUUUCACACGACUGGCAGUGCAGUAUGUUUGUUCACCAGCAUCACCACAAACACGUGAGUAAUGUGUUACUCUACCACGUCACCAGGCAAUAGGAGUUUUUCAGCUCUAUUAUAAACUUGUGGAACCACCGUCUUAUAUGCGAUCCAUCAUUGAUCGAAACAUCAUUAUGCAGUGCAUUACCAUGAUUAAUUGUUGUCAGAGCUCAGAGUGCUGAACCUUAGGCCUGUUUAGUAAAUAACAGGACUGCGACAGCAGUGUGCAGUGGUACUUUCACUACUGUACUCUAUAACGUCAGGAGAAUAACACUAGUGUUUAGUCAGCAGUUUGGCACAGUGGCAUCUGAGCUAUACUCUGUCACAGUACUGAAUAAGACUGCACUGAAUCUGCUACUUCCUUCUGCAUCUCUCCUUAAUGAUCCCGA